GGGAACAUUCCCUAAGGCUCCUCUCCAUCUGUGUCCUUGGCGAUUUCCCUGCCUUGGUGAAGUAGGUGGGGAACCACUUCCUCCAGGGAUCUCCCCCUGCUCACCGAUGGUAGAAAUGGGCAGGGGAACUGCGUUGCCAUGGCAGCAACUCCACUAGCUCUUCCAUUCGAAGAAAGUCUGGCUCAAGGGAUCUGCCUGGUACUCCCCAUGGCAAAGAGUCAAGCCUGAGGAUGAAGCUAACACAGAAAGGAAGGCAGAGCAGAGACAAGUACCAAGACUAUGCUGGAGUCUUGAUCAAACAACAUAUGAAUUUCACUCUAUUUCUGGACUUUUCAAUGACACCUGCAAUAUUAUAUCCACUUUCAUGGCUGCAACCACCACAUCCAUGGGACGACUCCAAAGCAUCCAUCUCAGUCCUUGACAGACAGUUGCAGAUCUCCAGCUGACUGUCAAACACUCUUAACUGCAGAACUGCUGCCAUAAUGUGUUUAAGCUCUAACUGAGGAUCUGUAACUGACUAGCCAUGUGAACUCGGAACUGUCACGUAUCUUUCAGAACUUCAGCGUUUCAUUCGACAACAAGAAUGGUUUGAAGUUGAAUAUCUACCGUACAAGACUUUAAGGCCUAGGAGGAGCCUUGUCUAUCCAAUUAUUGACGGGACCUCUUUAGCCUAAGGUUCCUGUAGUUGUAAUGUGUGCCGUCCAAUACAGUUUAAAUUUAAAUUUAAUUAAACGUAUAUUCAAUUGAAAAUUCAUGUCAUCUGCUUCACUAGCCACAUUUAAAUGUUCAGUUGCCACUUGUGACGGUGGCUACCAUAAUGGACAAUGCUGAUAUAGAACAUUUUCAUCCCUGCAGAAUGUCUCAUUGGAUAAUGCUGUAGGUUAACCAACCACCACGUAUAAAGCCAAAAUUAUCUUCCUCUCCAUUAGCUCAAACUUUAUACUUCCUACGUCUCAUAGUAGCAUUAACACCAUUGUUAUGGAC